rnacentral:rRNA from 1 species
UAAAGUAGAAAACCAGUGAGCUCAUUCUAUCUUGUACUGCUACGAGAGAAUCAAACCAAGGAGGAGGCGACUUCCUAUAUCCUUAGUGGUCGUCGGGAAGGCAUCAAGACUCCUUCGCGAGUUGGACCUACAACAACCGGCUUCCUCCCCGCCUCGUCCACGGUCAGUCCAUCCGCCGAGUCGCCCACCCUCUACCUCCGACGGCUAGAGUGUGUCGAGGACGCGGGGCGAUGGGAGAGGAGGGGCCGAUUCGUCCUCCUAAAGGUUAACACAUUAUAAGGUAGUAUGAGGAUACGUAACCGGUCUAGACUCCGUCUUUUCUUCUCCUUCUUAGACUUCUAAACCCACUUACCACUACUUCUUGUCCCCUAACUUCUUCUUUGACAAUAAUAACACUAACACGUAUCCUUCGUCUACGAUAGUUCUAGUACAGUUUCCGCUACGAGUAAGGGCAAGAAUCACUCUACCUAAAUGAGCUACGUUCCAUACUCGUAACGUCUGAGACCGCUCGACAACUUCCAGCUGCUCCUCCCGCGACGGUGGUGGCAAUAGUCCGACCAGGUGUAGGUGCGCGACGAGCCGCAGUGGUCCAGUGGCCGUGUUGAGGAGUGCGGGUCCAGCAAGUUGUAAAAGAAGGCGAAAACCACGCAGUGUAAAUCAGGAAGAAAGGGUAAAAUGGCACAAACGUACCAUUCUACAAACCAACCUAAACUUCACUAAAGUUAAGACAACCGGAGGAAUCCUAACGAACCCUUACACUCCGAAUUUUCAAAGUUGGGACACUUUACACGAAGAGCCCACACCUCUGAUUAAUUGCCAAGACAAUUAUGACUAUACAGGAACAUGUAAUAUGCUCAUAACGUAGUGAACAUGAAUAUGGAACAGUUCGCUAGACUGUCUGGUUCUUCCUGUUCCUUGCUCCCUGGUUGGAUGUCGAAACGCUCGACGGGUCAACACUUCGCACCUCUGUUCUUUAGGAGGGAAAGGCGGUGUCGAAACCGACGGUCGGAUGGUCUCGACACU